UAAGGUCAAGGACUGCCCUCACGGGCUGUUCCUAGCCUCACCGUGUCUACCUACUAUCGUUGCUUUGGCGGGUCGUCUCACGACCACGGGCUCCGGCUUGUGCGUGCCCGCCAGAGGAUCCUAAACUCUGAAUGUUAGUGUCGUCUGAGUAUUAUUAAAUAGUUAAAACUUUCAACAACGGAUCUCUUGGUUCU
rnacentral:misc_RNA from 1 species